ACCCCAAACUCAGCGAUGUAACACAAACACCAUUUUAUUACGUGUUAUUAUCUUUGCAGCCUGCGUGGGUCAGUAACGCAGACAUGGCACGUAACCAGAGUUAUCCCAGCAUCUUGUCAUCAGAGCCAUCCCGGCCCCUGUCUGAGUGAUGCUCUAGGAGCCGGCAUAGGAACCAAUAUGGAAGAAAGGAAUCUGGUCACCCACAUCCGUGGCUGGCACGUUCAUCGAAUGUCCCGAAGAAUCUCUCCAACACUCGAGCCAACAUGCCCGCACCAGCUGCGAAGGACACCUAUUCGGGGCCCCCGCUCAAGCCCCCAAGAGUUGGGGCUGGCACCGAACUCCCAAGUUAGGUUCCUCCAGGACUGAUGCGUCCGUUCCAGUCACAAGGAGGGCAAUUAUUCUUCCAGAAGAAUCACCGAGAGAGGAUAUCUAUCAUGGUGAAGCUCAUAGAUUUUGGGGUUCCAUCUGGCACAAUUCUCCUUCGCCUCGGGCCUUGGGCAAGUCAUCCAACUACACUGAGCCUCGGGGUCCUGAAGCAUAAGGCGGGGGCCACCUACCACACAUGACAUUGAUUACAUAACGUGUCUAAAGCGUC